rnacentral:hammerhead_ribozyme from 1 species
GUACAGUUGAAGAGUCCCAAAAUAGGACGAAACGGCUGUCCAGUAC